UACGUAGGGUGCGAGCGUUGUCCGGAAUUAUUGGGCGUAAAGAGCUUGUAGGCGGUUUUGUCGCGUCUGCUGUGAAAGCCCAGGGCUUAACCCUGGGUCUGCGGUGGGUACGGGCAGACUAGAGUGUGGUAGGGGAGACUGGAAUUCCUGGUGUAGCGGUGAAAUGCGCAGAUAUCAGGAGGAACACCGGUGGCGAAGGCGGGUCUCUGGGCCGAUACUGACGCUGAGGAGCGAAAGCGUGGGGAGCGAACAGG
rnacentral:rRNA from 1 species